GACGAACGCUGGCGGCGUGCUUAACACAUGCAAGUCGAACGCUGAGGCUCAGCUUUUGUUGGGUGGAUGAGUGGCGAACGGGUGAGUAACACGUGAGUAACCUGCCCCCUUCUUUGGGAUAACGCCCGGAAACGGGUGCUAAUACUGGAUAUUCACUGGUCUUCGCAUGGGGGUUGGUGGAAAGGGUUUUUCUGGUGGGGGAUGGGCUCGCGGCCUAUCAGCUUGUUGGUGGGGUGAUGGCCUACCAAGGCUUUGACGGGUAGCCGGCCUGAGAGGGUGACCGGUCACAUUGGGACUGAGAUACGGCCCAGACUCCUACGGGAGGCAGCAGUGGGGAAUAUUGCACAAUGGGCGCAAGCCUGGUGCAGCGACGCCGCGUGAGGGAUGGAGGCCUUCGGGUUGUGAACCUCUUUCGCUCAUGGUCAAGCCGCAACAAUGGUUGUGGUGAGGGUAGUGGGUAAAGAAGCGCCGGCUAACUACGUG
rnacentral:rRNA from 1 species